rnacentral:rRNA from 1 species
UACGAAGGGGGCUAGCGUUGCUCGGAAUCACUGGGCGUAAAGCGCACGUAGGCGGAUGUGUCAGUCAGGGGUGAAAUCCCGGAGCUCAACUUCGGAACUGCCUUGAUACAGCACAUCUGGAGUCCGGAAGAGGUGGGUGGAAUUCCUAGUGUAGAGGUGAAAUUCGUAGAUAUUAGGAAGAACACCGGUGGCGAAGGCGGCCCACUGG